GUAAGAACUGUGAUUAUCAGGGUCCAGUGAUAAUAAACCCCGUAAUUCGGGGUUUUUUAUUAUCUGAAAUAUGACCAUUCAGGUAUCUACUGGGCUUUAUAGCCCUUUUUUU
rfam:Photobacterium ganghwense strain DSM 22954 contig0016, whole genome shotgun sequence.